UUACGUGGCAUGAAGAUAAUUGCGACAAUCCUGAGAGCAAGUUCCUAGCUUUCACGCUCCAUGAUGGUAUAAGCGGCCAAGACGUCUAUGCGGCUUUCAACGCCCAUGACUACUUUGUCAAGGCUCUUAUUCCACUGCCACCGUGGGGAAAGCAAAGCAAUGGUUCCGUGUGGCUGACACAAACCUCGAUCGAGUCACCGGAUGAUUUUGUAAAGGAAGGUGUGGCUGAGACAUACAAUGUGGCUCCAUUCUCUUCGAUCCUUCUCAAGUUCAUGUAAAGCAAAGCAUGCACAUCCUUCGUGAAAGAUCCAUAAGUGUUUAUUUGAUUAAUGUAUAUGUAAAAUUCUAAAAUAGACGACAUUUCCAUUCAAAAGAUACAAUAUAUACAAAUAUAUAUAUCGAGCAAUAUGGUAAGUGUAUGUUUGUUUAAGGUUUUUAUUUCACCUUAAACUCUUAUGUUUCCCUUUCUUUAAUUCAUCUCUAUUAAAUGCU